rnacentral:misc_RNA from 1 species
UAGACAAGGUGUGGGGCAGGGCUGAU